rnacentral:rRNA from 1 species
GACGAACGCUGGCGGCGUGCUUAACACAUGCAAGUCGAGCGAUGAAACACCUUCGGGUGCGGAUUAGCGGCGAACGGGUGAGGAACACGUGAGGAAUCUGCCUUCCACUCUGGGAUAACUCCGGGAAACCGGGGCUAAUACCGGAUACUUUCAACUGGCGGCAUCGCCGGUUGAAGAAAGUUUUUCGGUGGAAGAUGACCUCGCGGCCUAUCAGCUUGUUGGUGAGGUAAAGGCUCACCAAGGCGACGACGGGUAGCCGGCCUGAGAGGGCGACCGGCCACACUGGGACUGAGACACGGCCCAGACUCCUACGGGAGGCAGCAGUGGGGAAUAUUGGACAAUGGGGGCAACCCUGAUCCAGCCAUGCCGCGUGAGUGAUGAAGGCCUUAGGGUUGUAAAGCUCUUUUGUCCGGGAAGAUAAUGACGGUACCGGAAGAAUAAGCCCCGGCUAACUUCGUGCCAGCAGCCGCGGUAA